AGUGAACGCUGGCGGUAGGCCUAACACAUGCAAGUCGAACGGCAGCACGGUAAGAGCUUGCUCUUACGGGUGGCGAGUGGCGGACGGGUGAGGAAUACAUCGGAAUCUACUUUUUCGUGGGGGAUAACGUAGGGAAACUUACGCUAAUACCGCAUACGACCUACGGGUGAAAGCAGGGGAUCUUCGGACCUUGCGCGAUUGAAUGAGCCGAUGUCGGAUUAGCUAGUUGGCGGGGUAAAGGCCCACCAAGGCGACGAUCCGUAGCUGGUCUGAGAGGAUGAUCAGCCACACUGGAACUGAGACACGGUCCAGACUCCUACGGGAGGCAGCAGUGGGGAAUAUUGGACAAUGGGCGCAAGCCUGAUCCAGCCAUACCGCGUGGGUGAAGAAGGCCUUCGGGUUGUAAAGCCCUUUUGUUGGGAAAGAAAAGCAGCAGGUUAAUACCCCGCUGUUCUGACGUUACCCAAAGAAUAAGCACCGGCUAACUUCGUG
rnacentral:rRNA from 1 species